rnacentral:lncRNA from 10 species
UGAUAAAGAGAUCAAUUCAGCAAGAGGAUAUAACAUUACAAAUAUCUGCACCCAACACCGGAGGUCCCAAAUAUAUAAAGCAAACAUUAAUAGAUCUAAAGGGAGAAAUGGACAACAAUACAAUAAUAGUAGGGGACUGUAACUCCCCACUCUCAGUAAUGAACAGAUCAUCCAGACAGAAAAUCAUCGAAGCAACACUGGAGUGAAACUGCAAAUUAGGCCGAAAAAUGUAUCUGAUGAAGCCAUAUUGGCUGCCCUGGAGCCUCCAGAACUGAAAAAGAGCUGCAAGUGUGUGCUGCUAUGAACAUCUUUCCAGAGCCUUUCCUGCACAGCUGGUAUUGGCAUCAUACCAAAAGCAGUGUUUAUCAAACUAGAGAUUAAAAAUCAAAAUUCAUUUUUGCGAUAAUGACAAAUGCCCUGGACUUACACACAUGCACUCGUGUGAGACAAGGCCCAUAAGUAUCCCCACCUUCCCUCUCCCAGUACUAGUUAAUUUUGAGUAAUUGUGUAUUGUCAGAAAAGUGAUCAGUAUUAGUUUUUGUUUUGUUGUUCCAAAAAAAAUUUUAUUUUUUAAUUUAAUUUUUUGUUUAAAAGCAAGGCAUGCUGUGUUGACUCUGUAACAGACUAAUUUGAAUUGUUAAAACUGCUCCCUGGUUCUAUUCUGGAGAGUAAUCUGGGACAUUUUAGUGAGUUUUUCCCCCUCUUUUUUGGGAGGGGGAGUAUGGGUGGGGUUUGAUUUUUAGUCUUGUUUAUUUUAAUUAACCAAUGGACAGCCCUUAAGGGGAGGAGGACAGAUUGAUUCCACAUUCCACUUUUUAGAUCUCAUUUAGAAAACAUGUUCUCAAUCUGGUGCUCUUAGGAAGAAGUAUAGUAAAUGCUUCAUUUAAUAAUGUGCUACUUUUUGAAAGUUGCCUUUUCUCUUUACCCUUGAAUAGAUCCAGUAUCUGAUGAUACUCAUGAAAGUGCGUGGAACCUGUCUUGUCCCUCCUCUUUUCUAGUAUGCACUAUAUAUGUGACUGUGACUUUCAAAGACAUUUAUUUGCCAUUUCCUGAUUUGGGGGAAAAUUAAUUCCUAACUUCUUUCACUAAUGAAGAAAAGUAUUGCACAUUGGAAAUACACUAACUGGAUUGAAUAUGUAAUUUUUUUUUUUUUGAUAUGGAGUCUCGCUCUGUUGCCAGGCUGGAGUGCAGUGGCACAAUCUUGGCUCACUGCAACCUCCACCUCCCGGGUUCAAGCAAUUUUCCUGCCUCAGCCUCCCCAGUAGCUGAGACUACAGGUGCAUGCCACCAUGCCCGGCUAAUUUUUGUAUUUUUAGUAGAGAUGGGGUUUCACCAUGUUGGCCAGGAUGGUCUCGAUCUCUUGACCUCAUGAUCCGCCUGCCUCGGCCUCCCAGAAUAUGUAUUUUAAAAUAAAUUUUUCCCUGUCAGUCAUUGUCUUAUAUCCUUAGCAUAGAUUUGCAACUCAGUAGUAUAUUUUAUCCCUAGAAUGAAGCUGGAGACCUGGUAUGUACAGGAAAUAUGAGAGGUGGUGCUAGAAGACAGACAUCUAUGGAAUGAUCCAUAUCCUUUCAAGUUAUGGGAAUGAAGACCUACUUCAUUAAGAAGCUGGGGGUGAAGUGAGGGUGAGGAGAACACUUAACAACAUUGGGACCAGUCAGGGAAUCCCCUUAUUUCUGUUUCACAUAUGAGGAACCCUAGAGCAGCUAGAUGAGGCUCUCUAGUUUAAUAAAAUCAUGGAAAGAGUCUUAUGAAGGCUCUUCAUAAGUGUUAACAGGGAUUUAUCAGCUUAUUUUUGUUGCAGUUCCCAAUUUCUAAAAAUGUUUAGGUAAUCUUUUCCUUUCCCCAAUCCUAAUUCUUAUAGAUUCACUAGUGUUGAACCAAUGCUUUCUCAUGUCUCAACUCUAUAUAUGCAUUCUUUUCAGAUGUAUUACAUUAAAAAAGCCCU